CUCGAGAAAAGAACAUAAACUCUGCCUUAAAACUUAAUCACUAUUAAAGUGCACCCUCAGUUUUAAGAGUUAUUCAAAUGAGGUACAGCUCAUUUGAAACAGGAAACAACCUGGAACCUAGGUAAAGAUUACACUUUUUAAGGUCUUGAUCAAGUUGGCCUAAAGCAGCCACCUUCAAGGAAAGCGUCACAGCUCAAAUGAAUUACCACACAAAUACCUAUAACCUUUUCUGACCCUACCAAAUUAUCGAGUCCAUUUAUAUUAAUAUAAAAAAGUUUAUGUUAGAACUAGUAACAAGAAACGAACUUCUCUUAAUGCAAGUGUACAUCAGAUUGAACUAAUCACUGAUAAUUACCGGCCCCUAACUGAGGGAAAUGUAAAAACCCUUCAAGAAAAUUCUACACAAUUAGCCGUUAAACUUACACAAGAGCAUCUCAAGAAAGAUUAAAAGGCGUGGAAGGAACUCGGCAAACAUGAACUUCGCCUGUUUA
rnacentral:rRNA from 1 species